rnacentral:rRNA from 1 species
GAUGAACGCUGGCGGCGUGCCUAAUACAUGCAAGUCGAGCGAACGGACGAGAAGCUUGUUUUUCUUAUGUUAGCGGCGGACGGGUGAGUAACACGUGGAUAACCUACCUAUAAGACUGGGAUAACUUCGGGAAACCAGAGCUAAUACCGGAUAAUAUUUUGAAACGCAUGGUUCAAAAGUGAAAGACGGUCUUGCUUUCACUUAUAGAUGGAUCCGCGCUGCAUUAGCUAGUUGGUAAGGUAACGGCUUACCAAGGCAACGAUGCAUAGCCGACCUGAGAGGGUGAUCGGCCACACUGGAACUGAGACACGGUCCAGACUCCUACGGGAGGCAGCAGUAGGGAAUCUUCCGCAAUGGGCGAAAGCCUGACGGAGCAACGCCGCGUGAGUGAAGAAGGUUUUCGGAUCGUAAAACUCUGUUAGUAGGGAAGAACAUAGGUGUAAGUAACUGUGCACAUCUUGGCGGUUCCUUAUCAGAAAGGCACGGCUAACUUCGUG